rnacentral:rRNA from 1 species
GGUGGAGUCGCAAGGUGAAAUACCGUUCUGUUCAUAUCUGGCGUCUAACCUCGGACAGUGAUCCUGUCCAGGGACAGUGCCUGGCGGGUAGUUUAACUGGGGCGGUUGCCUCCCAAAGAGUAACGGAGGCGCCCAAAGGUUCCCUCGGCCCGGUUGGCAAUCGGGUGUUGAGUGUAAUCGCACAAGGGAGCUUGACUGCGAGGGCGACGGCCCGAGCAGGGACGAAAGUCGGGGAUAGUGAUCCGGUGCCGGCGCGCGGGCGCGGCAUCGCUCAACGGAUAAAAGGUACCCCGGGGAUAACAGGCUGAUCAUUCCCAAGAGUCCAUAUCGACGGGAUGGUUUGGCACCUCGAUGUCGGCUCGUCGCAUCCUGGGGCUGGAGCAGGUCCCAAGGGUUCGGCUGUUCGCCGAUUAAAGCGGCACGCGAGCUGGGUUCAGAACGUCGUGAGACAGUUUGGUCUCUAUCCUCUGCGCUCGUUGGAAUCUUGAGGAGUCCUGCCCAUAGUACGAGAGGACCUGGGUGGACGGACCUCUGGUUUGCCGGUUGUCGCGCCAGCGGCAUGGCCGGUUGGCUACGUUCGGAAGGGAUAACCGCUGAAAGCAUCUAAGCGGGAAGCCUUCUCCAAGAUGAGGAUUCCUUGACACGUGAGUGUUGUGACCCCCCAUGUGGAUGACGUGGUGGAUAGGCCGGGUGUGGAAGCCGUGCGAGCGGUGGAGCUGACCGGUACUAACGGGGGAACGGCAAUCCCAU